rnacentral:lncRNA from 1 species
UAAAAGGUAGUCUUUCCCAACAAACUGUGUUUACAUCUGGACCAAAUCAAGCACUUCCUGGCACCACAAGCCAGCCAUCCGUUCCUGGACACCAUGUUACUCCGGGCCAUUUUCUGCCGUCUCAAAACCCUACCAUUCACCAUCAAACUGCUGCUGCUGUGGUCCCACCCCCGCCUCCACCACCGCCUGCUCCAGGACCUCACCUCGUACAACAGCCAAACUCACAUCAGCAGCACUCUGUAGCACAUGUAGUUGGGACAGUUCAUGCUGUCACCCCUGGGUCACACAUUCAUUCUCAAACUGUUGGACACCAUUUACCACCACCUCCUCCACCUCCUGGUCCUGCCCCACAUCACCAUCCUCCACCCCAUCCUUCCACAGGACUGCAAAGUCUGCAAGCACAACACCAGCAUGUAGUAAACUCAGCACCCCCACCGCCCCCUCCUCCUCCUCCUCCAGCCAGUGUUCUGGUUUCUGGGCAUCAUUCAGCAUCAGGUCAAGCCUUACAUCACCCACCUCAUCAAGGACCUCCACUUUUUCCUGUGAGUGUUCAUCCGGCUGUACCGCCGUACCCCUCACAAGCCACACAUCACACCACUUUGGGACCGGGACCCCAACACCAGCCUUCCGGAACAGGGCCACAUUGUCCAUUACCAGUUCCAGGUCCUCAUCUCCAGCCCCAAGGACCAAACAGUAUUCCAACACCUACUGCUUCAGGGUUCUGUCCUCAUCCUCACCCUGGCUCUGUGGCCCUGCCACAUGGGGGGCAAGGACCUCAUCAGGCAUCGCCAGUGCCUGGACAGAUUCCAAUUCACAGAGCACAGGUGCCACCAACAUUUCAAAACAAUUACCACGGUUCAGGGUGGCAUUAAAAUGGACUCCAAUAACAUUUUUUAAAAUGUUCUGUAAGAUAAACUGUAUAUUUCAUAUGUACCUGUUAAGGUACUUUUUAAAGCUUGUACAUGAAACUUUGUAUAAAAAAGACAAAAACAAAACAAACAAACAAAAAAAAAACAAAACACCAGUGCUCUUCCAUUGUAUUUUUCCCAUUUUUGCUUUUUAAGAUUCCGUAUGAAAUGUGCUAAGCCAGUCGUAGGCAUCUUAAUUCUGUAAGUGAGCAUUCCAACUGUCUUUUCUGACCAGAGAGCUGAUGUACAUGACCUUAAAUUUCAUUGUUGCAGUUAAAUUCAUUUAGUGACUAUUUUCUGUAUUAUUUUAUACAUAUGCAUUAAGUAUACAGCUAAAGAAAGCACUAAGGAUUUUCUUUUUUAUGGUCAGCAGUUCUUUGAGUGCACCUUAGGUCUGAAAAUGCAAUACAGGUUUUUAUAAUUUGGUGUGGACAUGGCUCAUUUUGUUUUAUCAGUUUUUUGCAAGCAAAAUGUAAUUUAAUGUGUAGAUAAUUUCUAGUGUCUCCUGACAGAUGUAAAUACUGCAUUUCUUUUGCGUGUAUAAUUGCUUCCCACCCUUUUCAUUUGGUAUAUAGCAUUGUACAUAUGCAAGUCUUUGCAAAAGUGUGAUCUCUGUGGAGUAGUACAGCACAUGGCCUUUCCUUUUUAUUUCAGUAUGCUGUCACAUUGAAGCACUGGCUGGGCAUUUUAAUUCAUGUUAAUAAACCACAAUUAUGUCAGUUUUACUAAAUUGUUCUGUACAUCUUCUGAGAUUGAGGUCUGCUUAUCGAUUUUACAAAAGUUACGAUUUUCAAAUAUAAUUUAUAAGUA